rnacentral:rRNA from 1 species
AAUUUUGGACAAUGGGCGAAAGCCUGAUCCAGCCAUGCCGCGUGUGUGAAGAAGGUCUUCGGAUUGUAAAGCACUUUAAGUUGGGAGGAAGGGCAGUAAGUUAAUACCUUGCUGUUUUGACGUUACCGACAGAAUAAGCACCGGCUAACUUCGUGCCAGCAGCCGCGGUAAUACGAAGGGUGCAAGCGUUAAUCGGGAUUACUGGGCGUAAAACGGGCGUUGGUUGUUUGUUUAAUUUGAAAGGAAAGGCCCCGGCUCAAACUGGGAAAUGCUUUCAAAACUUGCCAGCUAGAGUAAGGGAGGGGGUGGUGGGAAUUCCUGUGUAGGGGUGAAAAGCGUAGGUAUAGGAAGGGACACCAGUGGCGGAAGCCGCCACCUUGGCUAAUUCUGACCCUGAGGUGCGAAAGCGUGGGGAGCAAACA